CUACGUGCCAGCAGCCGCGGUAAUACGGAGGGUGCGAGCGUUAAUCGGAAUAACUGGGCGUAAAGGGCACGCAGGCGGCUAUUUAAGUGAGGUGUGAAAUCCCCGGGCUUAACCUGGGWAUUGCAUUUCAGACUGGGUAGCUAGAGUACUUUAGGGAGGGGUAGAAUUCCACGUGUAGCAGUGAAAUGMGUAGAGAUGUGGAGGAAUACCGAUGGCGAAGGCAGCCUCCUGGGAUAACACUGACGCUGAGGAGCGAAAGCGUGGGGAGCGAACAGGAUUAGAUACCCUGGUAGUCCACGCUGUAAACGUUGGGCACUAGGUGUGGGGGCCACCCGUGGUUUCUGCGCCGUAGCUAACGCUUUAAGUGCCCCGCCUGGGGAGUACGGCCGCAAGGCUAAAACUCAAAGGAAUUGACGGGGGCCCGCACAAGCGGCGGAGCAUGCGGAUUAAUUCGAUGCAACGCGAAGAACCUUACCAAGGCUUGACAUGC
rnacentral:rRNA from 1 species